GGUGAUGAUGUAUCCUUCUUCGCCUCGCGUUUCAUCAAUGAUUGGUAGAAUUCAACUAAUUCAGGAGCGCGAUGGACCUUAUCACCUCCAGCUCCUCCUUUCAUUAGAGAUCCAGGAGGAGGAGGUGGUCUAGGAGCUCCUCCACCAGGUGGCGGCGGCGGUGGUGGAGCACCAGGCGGAGGAGGUGGUGGGGGUGGACCACCAGGUGCCCCACCUGUAACAUUAUUACCAGCUGGAGCGGGACCACCUGCUGAUCGUGUAGGAGGUGGACGAGGAGUCCUAGGAGGUCUUUUCUCAAUAUUAAUUGGUUUCAUUUUGCUAACU
rnacentral:lncRNA from 1 species